GACGAACGCUGGCGGCGUGCUUAACACAUGCAAGUCGAACGGUGAAGCGCCUUCCUUUUUGGUGGGUGUGGAUGAGUGGCGAACGGGUGAGUAACACGUGAGUAACCUGCCCCCUUCUUCUGGAUAACCGCAUGAAAGUGUGGCUAAUACGGGAUAUUCUGGGUCUGUCGCAUGAUGGGUCUGGGAAAGAUAUUGUUUCGGUGGGGGAUGGGCUCGCGGCCUAUCAGCUUGUUGGUGGGGCGAUGGCCUACCAAGGCGGUGACGGGUAGCCGGCCUGAGAGGGUGGACGGCCACACUGGGACUGAGACACGGCCCAGACUCCUACGGGAGGCAGCAGUGGGGAAUAUUGCACAAUGGGCGCAAGCCUGAUGCAGCGACGCCGCGUGAGGGAUGGAGGCCUUCGGGUUGUGAACCUCUUUCGCCAGUGAAGCAGGCCUGCCUCGUUUGUGGGUGGGUUGACGGUAGCUGGAUAAGAAGCGCCGGCUAACUACGUG
rnacentral:rRNA from 1 species